rnacentral:rRNA from 1 species
GAUGAACGCUGGCGGCGUGCCUAAUACAUGCAAGUCGAGCGAACGGACGAGAAGCUUGCUUCUCUGAUGUUAGCGGCGGACGGGUGAGUAACACGUGGAUAACCUACCUAUAAGACUGGGAUAACUUCGGGAAACCGGAGCUAAUACCGGAUAAUAUUUUGAACCGCAUGGUUCAAAAGUGAAAGACGGUCUUGCUGUCACUUAUAGAUGGAUCCGCGCUGCAUUAGCUAGUUGGUAAGGUAACGGCUUACCAAGGCAACGAUGCAUAGCCGACCUGAGAGGGUAGUCGGCCACACUGGAACUGAGACACGGUCCAGACUCCUACGGGAGGCAGCAGUAGGGAAUCUUCCGCAAUGGGCGAAAGCCUGACGGAGCAACGCCGCGUGAGUGAUGAAGGUCUUCGGAUCGUAAAACUCUGUUAUUAGGGAAGAACAUAUGUGUAAGUAACUGUGCACAUCUUGACGGUACCUAAUCAGAAAGCCACGGCUAACUACGUG